rnacentral:lncRNA from 1 species
GGGAAACAUUCAAAUGCGCGCCAUUUGUUUGAUCCAGUGGUUAACUUAUCUUGGCAUCGUAAAUGGUGACAGCCAGAUAUUUUCAGACAACCAUUAAAGAUCAACAAAUUUGAAACAACUUCUAAAAAUAUCUAUAUUUUCUACCAUGGAAGAUGAGAUUAAAGACGCACAGGUGUCCUGUCUAUCAGGAAUUAUCGAUUUGCAAAGAGCGUGUCAAAAACAAAAUUUAAAACUUUCAGCCGAAACAAAUCAGUAUCUGGUAUAUUUGACACUGAAAAAAUUGGGUCCAUUCGUUGCACAAAAAUUGAUCAGCAAAC